GAUGAACGCUGGCGGCGUGCCUAAUACAUGCAGGUCGAGCGAACGGACGAGAAGCUUGCUUCUCUGAUGUUAGCGGCGGACGGGUGAGUAACACGUGGAUAACCUACCUAUAAGACUGGGAUAACUUCGGGAAACCGGAGCUAAUACCGGAUAAUAUUUUGAACCGCAUGGUUCAAAAGUGAAAGACGGUCUUGCUGUCACUUAUAGAAGGAUCCGCGCUGCAUUAGCUAGUUGGUAAGGUAACGGCUUACCAAGGCAACGAUGCAUAGCCGACCUGAGAGGGUGAUCGGCCACACUGGAACUGAGACACGGUCCAGACUCCUACGGGAGGCAGCAGUAGGGAAUCUUCCGCAAUGGGCGAAAGCCUGACGGAGCAACGCCGCGUGAGUGAUGAAGGUCUUCGGAUCGUAAAACUCUGUUAUUAGGGAAGAACAUAUGUGUAAGUAACUGUGCACAUCUUGACGGUACCUAAUCAGAAAGCCACGGCUAACUACGUG
rnacentral:rRNA from 1 species